GCUACUCUCUGACUAUGGGCAGUGGGAAGUAUGUGGACACUAUGGAUUCAAACAGCAACCCAAUACUGUUGGCCCCUGAGGUGUGCUGCUUGCCCCUUUAUCAAAUAUACACUGUGCCCUAUGGGGAGUCCAGUCCCCACUCUGGGCUGAUGAGAGGAGGGUCCAUGUUAAUCACUGAGACCCGUUUAAAAACAAGGCUCCCUCCAACUACAACUACUGGGAAAACUUACAUCUCCUACACACACAGGAUCCAGCGUAGGUAGUCGAUAGAUGGCAAGACUGUUGGGGUUGUCUCCUCCAGUGGCUAGCAGUGUUCUAGAAGGAUUCAGCUCGAUGGCAUGGAUACCACAGCCCUGCUGGGUCACACCUCCAGGCUCCCGGUCUUUCAGAAUGGGGAUCUUGGUGAUCUGGCUUGUCUGGACAUCUACGACAAAUAGCUACAAGAAAAAAUGGAUACAGAAGCUGAACAUAAAUUUAACGUGGCCAAUACAGGGUAUAAACAUCCUUUUGUUCAACUGUUCAUCAACAU
rnacentral:lncRNA from 1 species